rnacentral:lncRNA from 1 species
AUAAAAGAGACUGUAUGUGACAGUACAGGGAGUUCCUGUUUUAACCCUCAAAGUGAAGUGUCGUCUCAUUAUUGGGGGAAGGAUUUAUUGUAUGCUGUUCCAGUUUGACUGCUAGGAGAGUAAACCUAUUCGUAUGGUUCCUAUUCAACUGUCUACAGCAUUCAAAUGCUUGAGAGAAGGUAUACGCUUCCUCGGUUCGGUGAUUGUGGUGUCGGCCAGAGUGCUUGGAGUCCUCAGGAAACGCUAG